rnacentral:lncRNA from 1 species
UGCACAGAAUCACUUGAAUACUAGGAAUUGUGAUGACAUUGAAGUGGAAUCGCAGGCACAAUGGACAUGGUGAAAAGCACACAAGGCAAACCCUGCCCAGCUGAUUGUGCUUAGCCUAACAUGCAAAAGAGGCACUUCCCAAGCUUGCCAGUACCCCAGGAGGUAUUAAGGCUUUCUCUGAAACCUAGUCAUAUUGAGGGCAGCCCGGCUCAACUUGGAAAGCUCUGAGGAGUUCUGUGAAAGGUGGUUCAGAUGUAUGUCAGUAGACAGUGCCGAUAAAUGCUCUUCCAGCCUGAUCCUGUUCGAUCUGAUGUACAAACAGAUGCAAAAGAUAGCACUGUCUUUAGUAAAUGACUUGGAAAGUCAUUUUAGUCAUGAAAGAUUCCAAGAUGAAGCAUAUGUCAAGGCACACAAAAAUUUCUGAGCCAGAGACAGAAAAAGCUGUGGGCCACGGGCUCAGGAAGUUGAAUGGAUCUGAAUCUCAUAAAUGAAAUCACAGUAUUUUGGAAGUGAUGAGAGGGGAGAGGUUAAGAAAUUGUGUCCUGUAAUUAUCAUAUCAGCUUCCUGAUGAAUAUGUUACAAAAAAUGUUUCUUUUCUUCAUAUUUCAUCUGAAACCUGUGAGCUUGAAUUUGAAAGGGCUGAUUAUUCUGUUCUCUAUGAAUCAUUUAAGC